UCUGGAAACAAAUGGACUAUGAAAUACAGCAAAGAGACAAUAUGUGCUUUAAAAGGGUCCACUGUGUUUAGGAAUGGCUCUUAUACACACCCAGACCAUCUUACAGUGACAGAAGCCUUUUGGUAUAUAGACCCAGAGGAUGAACACCAGUACUGCUACAGAAUCCAAACACGCACAGAGAAAUGGGUGGGUAUUCCUGGAAUACAGCUGAAAUUUACAGACACUGAGAAAACAAUACAGAGACCAUCGCCAUAGUAAUAAAGUCUACAGGAAACUUUUUUUAGGCUUAUGACCUGGGAUUAUACUGAACUUCGAUUUGGGUGUCAUUGUCUCGCCACUCUCAUGUGUUCACUGUUGACUGAAGUUGUAGAGUUGUUUCUCAUAGCCUGUGGUACCAGUAUGAAUGUUCUCAUCAUCUAGCUCAGUGUCAGCUUCUGGAGUCUGAUUCUGGCUCACUGAGUUCUGGUUUCCAAAUUGAUCCCCCUUAUAGUCAAACAAACUGUGGACAGAUAACAGAGAACUUUUUAAAACACUAGGGUUAGAAACUUCAUUUGGGGAUCAGUAUUUCUCAAAGCCAAUUAUUUAUAAACUAAAUGAAGACAUAAUAACAUUCUUCAUAUAUCAUGAUAUUUUUAAUCCCCUCAUCACUCACCUGUCUUCUUCCUGAAUGACACCAGGACAUCAACCAAAGGCUCUAAAAGGGGGUGGGUACAUACUGGAUAAAAGAAAACAGGUCAAUGAAAAAGAUUCAGAUAUUCUGUUUUCAUUCAUUUUUUUGAUUUUAUACAGUGAAUUUAACAAAAUAUAUUGUCUAAAAUCAGCUUUACAGUACACAGGUCUAGACCACACAUGGGGUGUAAGAAAGUUACCUCAGGAUUACCAAACUGAAGAGCUAAACUGUGUCUCUUGGGUCAAGGCUAGAGAGUAAUGCUCACACAAACACAUGAAGUAUAGAAAUGUGAAAACCACAUUACAUAAUAAAAUGUAAUAAAUGAAUGUGUCAUUAAGAUCAUACAGACUUAGGGUAUAAGAAAUCUAUAAAAAUGUGCCUGCAGUCUAGAUGUCCAAGCAAAUGUGUGUGAUUUUACUGACAGUCUUACCCUUGUAAUGUAAGGACAAAAACAUAAGCAUCCAAACCACAGACGUCAUCAACAACACACAGUGAGACAGUGAGAUGAAGCUGCCAAACUGUCAAAAGAAACACAUGUCUU